rnacentral:rRNA from 1 species
UUAAAUUGAAGAGUUUGAUCAUGGCUCAGAUUGAACGCUGGCGGCAGGCCUAACACAUGCAAGUCGAACGGUAACAGGAAACAGCUUGCUGUUUCGCUGACGAGUGGCGGACGGGUGAGUAAUGUCUGGGAAACUGCCUGAUGGAGGGGGAUAACUACUGGAAACGGUAGCUAAUACCGCAUAACGUCGCAAGACCAAAGAGGGGGACCUUCGGGCCUCUUGCCAUCAGAUGUGCCCAGAUGGGAUUAGCUAGUAGGUGGGGUAACGGCUCACCAAGGCGACGAUCCCUAGCUGGUCUGAGAGGAUGACCAGCCACACUGGAACUGAGACACGGUCCAGACUCCUACGGGAGGCAGCAGUGGGGAAUAUUGCACAAUGGGCGCAAGCCUGAUGCAGCCAUGCCGCGUGUAUGAAGAAGGCCUUCGGGUUGUAAAGUACUUUCAGCGGGGAGGAAGGGAGUAAAGUUAAUACCUUUGCUCAUUGACGUUACCCGCAGAAGAAGCACCGGC